AUGGACAAGUCCGCAGAGCUUAAGGCUCCUUCAAAUAGUGGUAGAGCGGUGUGCCAGAAAAUGGGAUGAAACAGAUGAAGAUGCCAGAUUCCUCACCCUCCUGCUGAGCAUCCUGUUACUUCAGCACCACGGCAUGAAAUUAGACAUAAUUCUACUAAAAACUCUGUGUAAAUCCACAUUUAGGUUGUUUUGGUAGUAAAAUAAACAAAAACCUUUCAUCACA